GGUGGUACAGCUCAGUGGUAGAGCGUGUGCUUAGCAUGCACAACGUCCCGGCUUCAAUCCCCAGUACCUCUG
rnacentral:tRNA from 1 species